ensembl:snRNA U6 U6 spliceosomal RNA
GUGCUUACUUUAGCAGCACACAUACUAAUACUGAAAGAGUAAAGAGAAGAUUCACAUGGCCGUUGUACAAGAAUGGCAUGCAGAAUUGCAUGGUGUAGAAUAUUCUU